UACGGAGGGUGCGAGCGUUGUUCGGAAUCACUGGGCGUAAAGGGCGUGUAGGCGGUCCGCUAAGUCUGAUGUGAAAGCCCGGGGCUUACCCCCGGAAGGGCAUUGGAAACUGGCGAACUCGAGUCCCGGAGAGGAAGGUGGAAUUCCUGGUGUAGCGGUGAAAUGCGUAGAUAUCAGGAGGAAUACCGGUGGCGAAGGCGGCCUUCUGGACGGUGACUGACGCUGAGACGCGAAAGCGAGGGGAGCAAACAGG
rnacentral:rRNA from 1 species